rnacentral:tRNA from 1 species
ACAGAAGCCGGGAUAGCUCU